ACUUCAAAUACCCCACUGUGGUUUCACAUUUUUCCACUUUAGUACUUUAUGGUUUAAAGUAUAUCAAGUUAGCCCUGUGGUUUUGCACUUUCUCACUUUGGUACCCCGUAGUUUAAAGUGUAUUAAGUUAGUACCAUGUAGUUUCAUUUUUCUUUUUUUAUUAUCCAUUUCACUAAUUUUUUUUGUUAAAUCAGUAACAAAGUUAAAACUAAAGGAUACUAAAAUGAAUAUUUCCUAGGUAGGGUAUCUGAAGCUUUUAUAUAUAAUUUAACGAAAUAUUAACGGAGGAAAAAAAAUCAGUGACAAAAUUAAAACUAAAGGGUAUUAAAGUAAAUAUUCGAUAAACUUAGGUAGGGUGUCUGAAGUUUUUUGUAUAUAAUUUAACAAAAUAUUAACAGAGGAGCCGACGAAGAGAAAAAAAAUAAAAUCACAUAGUACUAAAUUGAUGCACUUUGAACCACACGAUACUAAAAUGAGAAAGUGCGAAAUCACAGGGUACUAAAUUGAUAUGCUUUAAACUAUAGGGUACUAAAGUGAAAAAGUGCGAAACCACAGGGGUGCUAUUUGAAGUUUUUUCAAAAAUUAUUUAGAGGAUUUU
rnacentral:lncRNA from 1 species